rnacentral:piRNA from 1 species
UCCCAGAAGAAUGGUGUGUGUGAGGCUUA